UACGUAGGGCGCAAGCGUUGUCCGGAAUUAUUGGGCGUAAAGAGCUCGUAGGCGGCUUGUCACGUCGGUUGUGAAAGCCCGGGGCUUAACCCCGGGUCUGCAGUCGAUACGGGCAGGCUAGAGUUCGGUAGGGGAGAUCGGAAUUCCUGGUGUAGCGGUGAAAUGCGCAGAUAUCAGGAGGAACACCGGUGGCGAAGGCGGAUCUCUGGGCCGAGACUGACGCUGAGGAGCGAAAGCGUGGGGAGCGAACAGG
rnacentral:rRNA from 1 species